rnacentral:lncRNA from 1 species
UAAUAUUAAAACCUGUGAAAUAUCACUCUGGUGGAAGUGUGAAUGAAUUUGAAAGGGGUGUAACACUGUUCUACUUUGUUUACUCCUCAGUACCCUUGGCUGUGUACAUUUGAGUAAAGAGAGCACUAUAAAAUCAAAAACCAAUGAAAUGGUUUCCAGAACACAGAACUAUUAAGCUUAAGAAAAGGACAGAAGGAACUGAAGAGAGAGGAACUGUUUUGGAGCAUCACACUUCCACCUCAGAAGAAAUAAGGAAGGAAGGAGGAGGGUGUUCCCACGGCUCUUCAACCAGGCCGGCUCUUCAGCCUACAUCCCCAUCUCAUCAAGUAAAAGGGAUUUUUCAACUGGACCAACCAGAUGGUUUAACAGUGCACUCCCACACCAUUCAACUACGCAAGGGAGAUACACUUAACAUAUGCAGUCGUAUAACACCUACUAACAUUUUCAAACAUUAAACCUUUAAAAAAGAGUUCUAAAGAAAUAGAAGCUUGAAGUAUCAUCUCUCAAGUAUAUAGACACUACUUCAUGGUGUGGUAAUAUAUGCAUAUAGAAGCUAGUAAACACCUCCAGGAGAUGCAAAAGGAAUUAGAACUGCCACAAGGUGCAAGCAAAACCUUGAGGUGAGAAAAUCGAAUUUGGACACCGUUGAGGAGACUAUUGCAGUCAUCCAAGCUCAAGAUGGUGGAGCUUCAUCCUUGAGAAUAACCAAUGGGGAUAGAUUUAAGAGACACUUAGAGUCUGCAGCCAACAGGGCUGAAUGAGCAAGUUAUGAUUCAGAAGAUCAUCUAAAAUUGAACAGCUGCCACUACUGGCAAUAAGUCUACUGCCAUUUGGUAGAUAACCUUCUUAUCACACAGAAAAAUAUCAGUACAGACAAAUAGACCGCAAAGAAAAUGAGACCAUCAGCAAAGAAGAUAAAGAAGUUUGUACAAAGCAACUUUUUAUAAAUGGAUGGCUGUCAGGCAAAAAUAAAUUUCCUGUGGACAAGACCAAGAGCAAGGCAAGAGGAAAAUAAACAUGUUUAAA